rnacentral:tRNA from 1 species
ACCGCGUAGCUCAGUUGGCAGAGCAUUGGGCUAGUAUUCCAAAGGUCGUAGGUUCGAUUCUCACCGCGCGUG